AGUUUGAUCCUGGCUUAGGAUGAACGCUGGCGGCGUGCCUAACACAUGCAAGUCGAGCGGAGAUAGUUGAAGCCUAGCGAUGACUAUCUUAGCGGCGGAUGGGUGAGUAACACGUGGGUAACCUGCCCUGUACUGGGGAAUAACAGCUGGAAACGGCUGUUAAUGCCGCAUAUGCGCACGGAGCCGCAUGGCCCUGGGCGGAAAGAUUUAUCGGUACAGGAUGGGCCCGCGCCGGAUUAACUAGUUGGCGGGGUAACGGCCCACCAAGGUGAUGAUCCGUAGCCGACCUGAGAGGGUGACCGGCCACAUUGGGACUGAGACACGGCCCAAACUCCUACGGGAGGCAGCAGGUGGGGGAUAUUGCACAAGUGGGGGAAACCCUGAAUGCAGCGACGCCGCGUGAAGGAUGACGUAUUUCGGUAUGUAAACUUCUAUCAGCGGGGAAGAAGAUGACGGUACCCGACUAAGAAGCCCCGGCUAACUACGUGCCAGCCGCGGC
rnacentral:rRNA from 1 species